UACGUAGGGGGCAAGCGUUGUCCGGAUUUAUUGGGCGUAAAGAGCGUGUAGGCGGAUUGUUAAGUCAGGGGUGAAAUCCUGGAGCUCAACUCCAGAACUGCCUUUGAUACUGGCGAUCUUGAGUCCGGGAGAGGUGAGUGGAACUGCGAGUGUAGAGGUGAAAUUCGUAGAUAUUCGCAAGAACACCAGUGGCGAAGGCGGCUCACUGGCCCGGUACUGACGCUGAGGUGCGAAAGCGUGGGGAGCAAACAGG
rnacentral:rRNA from 1 species